GGAGGUUGUACAGCAAAAUCGUUAUCUUCUGUAAACAAUCCCAAUGGCGAUGUCAAGAAAAAGGUCACAGAAUUGGAGUGAAUCAGAGCGAAAUGCUUUAAUCGACGUGAUUAUGUCCGCGAAGACUACCCAGUCUGUAUCAUGGAAUGAAGCGGCUGAAGUAGUAAACAGUGUUGGUGGGCAUGGCGGGGACGCUGGAGAAGUGAAGAAAAAAUGGAUCAACUUGAAGUGAAAAAGAAGGUCAUGGGGCAGCUUCACGGCCACAAACAAACCGGAGGUGGCGAGCCCAUUGAGAUGAACAUUAAGGAUUGGGAGGAGAAGGUAAGACAUGUUCAUGAUUGUACUCUUCUGUAUUGUAUAAAAAACUUUAAACAGGGCUUCCUAAACACAAACUUAGAUGUGAAUGGGUCCCUUUUAAGCAAACAUUAUAGUAUCAGUAUGAUAAUUGUUUCUUACUGAAUAUUUUCGUGAAAUAGUUUCAUUUUGAAAAACAGAUUUCUCCUUUCCAGGUCCUUGCAACCAUACCAAACGUGUCUGUUUCUGGGAUAGAAGGGGGAUCGACACUAGUGGUAAGUUUGUGUUACAAAAUAAACAACAUGCCCUAAACUGAUAAGUACCUCAAUCAAAAACGGAAAUAUAUUAACAUGUAUUUGUUAUUGUGUCAACAUAAAUAUGGGUUAAUUGGAGGGUACAGACAUGACAGCAUUAGCCUGUUUUGUAUUUAAAUACAUUAAUUACUACAAAUAACUGACAACCACUUGUAAUUCACCAUACAGAACAAUUGAAUGGCAUCAUGUCUUCAGAUGUCCCGGCAACUUCACUUGAGGUCAAGACAGGAGAGGUCUCAUCACCAGAAGGAACAGGGAGUGACAUCACACCAGGACCAUCCUAAACAGCCAAGAGAAAGUUGGAGGAGCUUGGGAAGAGUGAAAAGAAGAAAAAGAAAAUGGAGGAAGAGGAUUUAAGUCUGAGGAUGGUUCUUGCUCAGGAGCAAACAAAC